UGGGAAUCUGCCCAGUAGUGGGGGACAACAGCCGGAAACGGCUGCUAAUACCACAUACGCCCUACGGGGGAAAGGGGGGGAUCUUCGGACCUCUCGCUAUUGGAUGAGCCCGCGUCGGAUUAGCUAGUUGGUAGGGUAAAGGCCUACCAAGGCUACGAUCCGUAACUGGUCUGAGAGGAUGAUCAGUCACACUGGAACUGAGACACGGUCCAGACUCCGUACGGGAGCAG
rnacentral:rRNA from 1 species